ACAACCAUCUCUUACAAUUCUAAUCACUCUAAACUUUAUUUGAGUGGUCCGUUGUUACACACACCUACAAUAAAGCAUGCAAUGUUAGUUAAAACAUGCAAGAUGAUCUCAACACACACAAGAUCUCUUGAAAACCAACCUGAAUCCUCUACUGCCUUUGAUGAUCACAAUGCACAUUUGCAACAGUUGAAUGAUCAAAUCUGUGAACAAGAGCAGCAAUUAGCUAUUCUGCAUGCACAACAGCAGCUCAACAAGUUGGAGGUGCAGAUUUGUGAAGAUACUCUUAUCAAGCCUCAAUUAAUUCAGAAUACCACC
rnacentral:sRNA from 1 species